UGCAAGGAUUGGCGGUCCGGCACAUCGACGUGCUCGAGAGCCUGGAGCCCAAGGUCAGGAAGUGCGUUCCUGCAGAAGAGAAGAUGUGGAGGGAGGAUAGGAGGAGGUAGGCACGCUGGGGUGGGAUGGUCUUGCCGGCGACGACAGGGCUGGCCGGCCGGAGUUGGAUCGAGAUCCCGGCUGGCACACCUCGCCUCCACCUCCCCUGGCCCUGACCUAGGGUUUGAUUGGUGGGCUCACUGUCGUCUGCGUUGGAUGAGGAGAUCCGGCACAUGCACAAGAAGGAGCUCAGCCUCUGCUGCCUCUGCACGCCCCCAGGGAGCCUGUGUCGUGGAAGCAGCGGCAAGACAUCAAGGAAUGGGUAUCCAAGGAGAAGAAGAGAGUGAUUGCAUCAAUGGACCCUCAGGCCUGUACUCGCGUCACACCCUUUCCUCUCCCUGCCUGCUCGUUGCCCCGGUCGUCUCUGAUGGAGCUCCUAGAUGUGCUAUACAUCACCUCCUCACCUCCUUGACCACUUCAGUGCCCAUGGCUUUCGUGCUCGUUGGCGGGAUGGUGCAAGGCACAACUCCGACGUGGUUCCUCACUGGUUGGAUGGCGUUCAGGCGCAACCCCGGUGCCCUCCGAGUACUGCCUCGGCUACAACCUCCCUCUGUGAGCUCCAUCUUCCCCUGCUCUGCUUCGGCUAUUAUAUGGGACAUGGCCAGGGCUAUGAUGAUCAGUUAUGGCUGAUAUAGGCAUGCUCUCAAGCAGUCGAGGCACUUGUGGGCAUUAUUUUGGAUCCUCCCUCGUUUCUUUGAGCUGUUUUGAUCACAUUCUUAUUUUAGUGGCUCUGUCCUUGGAUGGUCAUUUCUAAUGAGUGAUAACCAGGGUAGUUAAACCCUUGUAAGAACAUAUUGAUCCGGUGAUCCAUCCAGAAAUCCAGAAAUAAGUCUAGAAAUAAGAGAAGGAUGCCUCACCGAGCUCUCACAGCGAUUAGGGACUCUCGGUCGUCGGAUCAGUUUUCUUGAUGCGAUUCUGGGCGACGGAUCUCGCUCUGGAUUGAUCUCGGCCGUUGCAUCGAGCCUGAACUCCUGCAGUAAUGAGUAGUUACUCCCAAAAUGAGAUAUCUCGUGCCACCAUGUUUGAAUCACGUGCCCCGUCGAUCGGAAGCCAUUCUUGCUAGGGCGAUGAUGAUUAGCCGUGGGUAUCAAGUUGGGUCCUCCCUCUUCUCUCUAGAAUCCUUUUUGAUCCUGUGAUACUUACUGUUCUGUCCUUUGGAUGGUCAUUCUUAUUGAGUGAUAACUAGGGCAGCUCCACUGUAUAAACAGAUUGAUCUGGUGAUAAGAGAUGAUGGGGGUAGAUUAUAUGAUCGAGGAAAGGCAAAUCUGAGCCCAUAUGCAUUGAACCCUGAACCCUUUUUAUUCGCACGUGCCCCACCGGUCGGAAGCCAUCCUUGCUAGGGUGAUGAUGAUUCACUGUGGCUGAAAUAAGUGUGCCUUUGAGCAAUCAAGGCACCUGUGGGUAUCAAGUUGGGUCCUCCCUCUUGUCUCUAGAAUCCUUUUUGAUCAUGUGAUACUUAUUGUUCUGUCCUUGGAUGGUCAUUCUUGUUGAGUGAUAACCAGGGCAGCUCCACUGUACAAAUAGAUUAAUCCGGUGACAAGAGAUGGCGGGGGUAGAUUAUAUGAUCGAGGAAAGGCAAAUCUGAGCCCACUAUGCAUUGAACCCUGAACCCUUUUUAUUUGUAUUUAAAGGUGUUGCUUAUUUAUGCUCCAGUGUUUAUAGCCGUCUUAUGUGAAUAUUUCUUCUCUCUCAUACCUUUAUUUCAUAUAAGUUGUUCUUGACUUUUAUUGUUUGUUGUUGGUCCUUGAUUUCAUCUGGUUAAGACUGAGCAAGUUGUCGGUUCAAUGGCUUGUUUUAAUUUGUUGAUAAACCAGCAGAAACCACGGUGUCAUGUUUCUAAUAACAACGUCUUUAGGCUGAUUAAUGUUUGUAUUGGAGCCCACUACCUUUUAUUUCGCUUGUUUCUUACCAUCUUCCUUGCUUCUCUGGCUGUUUCACGGUUGGGACGGUGGCGUGGCGUUGGGGCUGUCUUGCGGGUCGGCCGGAGAGGGAGCACACCGAGUGGGCUUCUAAGAUGGCUGAGGGAUUUGUCUAGGGUUUCCUGGUUAAUCCAUUCUGAUUUUGGUCUGCUCAUGCUCUUGGCUUCCGGACCAUGGUGCUCAAGGUGGUCUGGCUAUCGCCGCCGCCCCUGCUCGACGAUGCUGCACUCCUGCUCGAUCACUUUAUAAAAAUAGCGUAUGCAGAAGUGAAAACGAGUCAAACAGAUGAUCAGUGCCUUAGUCCUUCAGUACUUGAGGUAUGUGUUGACUGUAUUAAUGAUGUUAUGUUUUUAGUGGCCAAUAUUUCUGACGAGUGUAUAAACCCACAGUUGACCAUGGUCCGCAUAUGAGUUUAAUUGCUGUCUAAGAUAAUUAGUAGCAUGAUUUUAUAAAGCUCCAGUUCCGUGGU